rnacentral:lncRNA from 1 species
GGAUAUUUACCUAGUGGUGAAGUAUGUAAAUGUAUAUUGAACAACAUAUUAAGAUUUUCACAAUCCCUAUUUUUCAUAGUCUCCUCUGCAAUAAUCCUACUUAAAUAUCUGCAAUUACAGAACAAAGUUUCUUUUUCAGAUCCCUUAUUUUCCUUGUACAGUAGCUGGAUGGUGAAUAUAUUUGUAAUUCUAGGAUUUCUCCUGGCAAUUUUCAAUGUUGAAACCUUUGCAACAUUAUGGCUAUACAGACAAUAUAUCUUAAGACACAAAAGAAGAAACAAUGACAGAUGGAGAUGAAAGAGCAGUUAUGCUCUUAUCCACUGAGCGAAUGUAACACCAAUGUAGCUAUAGGAGGAAUGAAUGGUAUUGCCUGCCUCAGCAUAAACACCAGGAGCCAAGCACCGUCAAAGUCAUCUCCUGCAGGAGGACCUAAUUGAAGACUGCCUCAGAGACCAAGGAUUGCUGAAGCAGACAAUACCAGCCAAUCAGGAGCUGGUAUUUACAAGAGAUGCUUUCUUGAGACCAUUGGGGUUGGGUGAAGGUUAUUAAAGAAACUUGCAGCAGU